UCCCCCUUAGCUCAGCGGUAGAGCGCUUCACUCGUAUGACUUUUGUAGAAGAAGAUCGUAUGAUGAAGAGGUCAGUCGUUCAAAUCGGCUAGGGGGAA